UGUGUCCGCCUUCAAUUGUUUUGUGUCUUCUGUGUGCUUGACGUGUGUCGCCGGCUUCUGACUGUGUUUGUGUCUCCUGCUUUUGCCUGGGCCAUUUUUUGGUGUGCCGCCUCUUGCAUUGUCCGUGUCGGCCCAUUAUUUUGGGCUUCUUUCGUUCUCGUGGUUGGAUCGUGGCCUGCUUCAGGACUGUGUACUCCGGACGCCACAUCGCCGCACCCUUCGUCGGUGGCGUCGCUUCCAUCUCCCACCUCUGCGUCAUUUUUUUUUACUGCGCCACCGAGUGGAGGUCGUCCUCUGUGCCGCCGAUUAGAUGCAUUCUCUUCUUUUCUUCUCCUCUUUGGUCACCUCUGAGAUUUGCCAGCCUUUUCCCAGCUGCUCGCCUGGCAUUUUCGUUACACUGCUCCACCGGAUAGGCCUCAUGGGUUCGGUUGCCGACUAGGCGUCCCUGCUCCUUUCCGUCAUCAUCCAUUCGCCACCUCUGUGCUCUGGCCAUUGUGGUUCCGGGGCCUGUGCCGCUUCUGUUGGUGUCUACCAAUUUCAAAGUAUAAUGAUCUUUCUUCUGUGUCUAUUUUCUUUUAUUCCUCUAGCUGCUGCAACUAUUUUCCCCUUCUGGCGAUAGGCUCUGCAACGAAUUUUGUUGUUAUUUUAAUCGUGUUGUAUGCAUGCGAAUCUUAUUUGCAUCAUAUCAUUGCCAGUCUUGUGCCCAUUCUAUGUAGUUUUUUUUUUCUUUCAUUUUGUGAUUGCUCUGACUGAUGCUCUUAUCCUAAUAGUACGAGGUACUCUUUGUGAGUGUA